rnacentral:rRNA from 1 species
GUGUCAGCAGCCGCGGUAAUACGGAGGGUGCAAGCGUUAUCCGGAUUCACUGGGUUUAAAGGGUGCGUAGGCGGGCAGGUAAGUCAGUGGUGAAAUCCCCGAGCUUAACUUGGGAACUGCCGUUGAUACUAUCUGUCUUGAAUACUGUGGAGGUAAGCGGAAUAUGUCAUGUAGCGGUGAAAUGCUUAGAUAUGACAUAGAACACCUAUUGCGAAGGCAGCUUGCUACACAGUCAUUGACGCUGAGGCACGAAAGCGUGGGGAUCAAACAGGAUUAGAUACCCUGGUAGUCC